rnacentral:rRNA from 1 species
CAGUAGCCACGGUAAUACGGAGGGUGCAAGCGUUAUCCGGAUUUAUUGGGUUUAAAGGGUCCGUAGGCGGACUUAUAAGUCAGUGGUGAAAGCCUGUCGCUUAACGAUAGAACUGCCAUUGAUACUGUAAGUCUUGAGUAUAUUUGAGGUAGCUGGAAUAAGUAGUGUAGCGGUGAAAUGCAUAGAUAUUACUUAGAACACCAAUUGCGAAGGCAGGUUACCAAGAUAUAACUGACGCUGAGGGACGAAAGCGUGGGUAGCGAACAGGAUUAGAUACCCGUGUAGUCCCUGUCUCUUAUAC